rnacentral:rRNA from 1 species
GACGAACGCUGGCGGCGUGCUUAACACAUGCAAGUCGAACGGAAAGACCCUGCUUUUGUGGGGUGCUCGAGUGGCGAACGGGUGAGUAACACGCGAGUAACCUGCCCUUGACUUUGGGAUAACUUCAGGGAACUCGGGCUAAUACCGGAUAUGAGCUCCUGCUCCACGGUGGGGGUUGGAAAGUUUCGGCCGUUGGGGAUGGACUGGAGGCUUAUCAGCUUGUUGGUGAGGUAGUGGCUUACCAAGGCUGUGACGGGUAGCCGGCCUGAGAGGGUGACCGGCGACCAUGGUACUGAGAUACGGCCCAGAAGCCUACGGGAGGCAGCGGUGGGAAAUAUUGCGCAGUGGGCGGAAGCCUGAUGCGGCAACGUCGCGUGCGGGAUGACGGCCUUCGGGGUGUAAACCGCUUUCGCCUGAGAUGAAGCGUGAGUGACGGUAAUGGGUAAAGAAGCACCGGCUAACUACGUG